UAUCCAGCACCAUACUAGUCAGCUCCUGCCCUAAGCAGCUCGCUUACAGAGGAAGGACAGCCAUGCACACAGACUGCUACAGCCCAGCAUGGGCAAUGCUAUGAUGGAGGUGAGCCCAGAGAGUAUCAGAGGCCCUGCAGAACCCCUGGUUAAACUGAUUGAAGAAAGGGGGUCUGGGAAGGCUUCCACGACGAGAAGAUUAAGCUGAAGGAGGCUGGACAACAACUAACCAGAAGAUGAGAAGUCUAGAGAGUUCAAGCAGAAGGAGUAGCUUGUGCAAAGGCUCUGAGACACGCAAAUGCGCUGAUCCUUUGGAAACACAAGUGCUAUGCUUCAGGGAGUCACCUUCAGUCCUGCUUGACCCAAGAAGGCUUGAGCUCUGUGUAAUCUCGGAAGGGGAAGAGUGGGAGCAGAGCCUUCACCACUGUCCCCAGGAGCCAGAGAUGUUCCUGUGGCCUCCUGCUCACACCGCAGGCCCGUGGGAGAGGUGCAGAGAAGUGGACAGCUGAGCAUGACCAACUCCUCACACCCGUGACCAGCAUCCGCAGUCAGCAGCACCUGACGGUCUGGUCUCCUGUCCCCUUCCCGUUUCCCUCUACCCCUGCCGACUGGAUUACGUUGAAG